GCUUUACUUUGAGGAAGCGGGGUUAGUUGCCAGGCCACCAUGGAUGUUAGCAUUGCCGUGUCCCUGAUUCGUGGCCAGAUGGGCGCUGUGGUGGAGCGAGCAGUGAACGGUGCAGUGGAGACAGUCCUGGCUGAGAUGCUCAAGGUGGUGGGAGUCAAAUUUGAGGAGCUGAAAGCCCAAGUGGCCCUGAUGAAGCAGGACGUUGCUUCCUUGCAGAGAGAAAAGGCCCUGAAAGAGAAGGAGAAUGACAACAUUAGAGCUAAGCUGCGUUACACAGAGCUGAAACUGAAGUACUACAGGCAGGGGGUGGAAGAAGAAUUGCAGCAGAGAGCUACUGCUUCUGCUAUUGUCCACAUAGACCCAUCCAACUUUCACAAGGGUAAUGCUAGUGUUUGCUCCAUUGAGAAGUCUCCUCCAUCCACAACUGAGACAAGAAGCUCUGAGGGACAUCUGAUGAGAAGCAUUCAAGAAUGCACCCCACCACAGAGAAUGAGCAGAUGUGCAAUUGGACUUCCAUGUGACCCAGAUGCAGGCAUUGCUGGCUCAAAUACCUCUGUCUUGUUGCCUGUGACUCCAUCAAACGAAUCUGUUGAUAGCAGUGGCAGUACAGUAUUAUACUCUGGGGAAAAAGAAGACAUGUCUCAGAGACAGGAUGAAGAUCAGGAUGGAGAUGUACAUGAGUGGACUUCCACUUUGCAGUUACAUACAGACGUGACCCCUCCUCCAGCUCAACCCUUAGCCAUGGAUCUGUGGCAGCAACCAGUCACUGCUUCAUUGUCACAGGAUGGUUCUCCUCACGCUGACAGAUCCUCCUGUCCUCCUGCCCCACAGGUGAAGCAAGAAGCAGACGAAGUGAUCUGUAUCAAACAGGAGCCAGAGGAUGAGCAGGAGUUGAUGGCCACAUUGCUGGACUGUCAGAUACAACAGCCUCAUCAUUCAGAGUCUCAGGCUCAAAGUUCGCUCCCAGUCUGCUCAGAACCUCUAGUGAACCAGAAAAUUUCUACUGCCACCUUCAGUGCAGCUAGACCCAGCUCAUAUGUGAUGCCUGAGCCGACAUCCGCUCUCAUAAAAACGGCCCCCAAUAUUAUGCCUCACCAGGCAGCGCGGCCCUGGACCAAUGACCUCACCCUUUAUGAAGAGUAUAAAAUACGCAGAAAUGAGCUUCGGCGACGAAACCUCACCAGACGCAGAGAGCUGGAGAAAACACUGCCUCAGCCUCUGCUGGCAGAUAUGGUGCGAGAGCGGCGAGAGAAGACCAGACUGAGGGUGGCCAGAUGGCGGGCAAAAAGGAAACUCCAGGCUUGUCUGAACCAAGCUCAGGCUCUAGGUGGUGCUGCAGCACAUAAUCAAAGUGAUUAUCAGCCACACAGGAUUUCUUCGGCUACUUCAAUAAUGCAGAGCACAACAGAGUCCAACACUUUCCUGAGCAACUUGACCAUAAACAGCAACUCUGCCAGUCUCCCCUUCAUGCCCUCCACCUCCUCCUCUUUGCUGUGCAGAGGCACCAACUUGGCUACACAUCGGCCGUGACAUCAUCCUUCUCCUACCUACAAGCCAGCGCGUCACAUUUUGCAAUGAGGUUUUUGUGUUUAAGGUGUUUACAUUCAAAAUCAGUGUCCAUGUAGAAAGAACAAAGCAGAGGCUGCUUUCUGCAUUUUAGAAUAUCUUUACUCAGCACUGACGACAGACUCAAACACAACGUCCUCAACCAUUUAAUAUGUACACACAAAAUAGCAACCUCAUUUGGAUUAGCUUGUUAUAUCGUCAGAAGAUGAAGACAUUUAACAUCCUCCAGAAUCAUAUAAACAUACCUUAGUUAUGGAUUAAUGUAAAUAAGGAUGAUGCUCAAGGCUUCCAGUAUAUAUUUAUUGAAUUGUUUAAUUCUGUGUUUAAUAGUGAUGCCACAAAGACAGAGUAUAAUGUUUUUCAAUGAAGUGGUCCCUAAAUCUGUAUUUGAGAUUUUUCCUUACUUGUUUUUUUUUUUUUUUACAUCUUUUCCAUGAUCAAAGUUAAGAAAAUAACAGCAGUUGAAACAUUAACUAUUACUUACUAUAGCUUCCUUAUAAUUAGCACAAAUAUCAGGGAAGAAGAAAAAUGUUAAUGAUCAGAUAAGGUUUCCUAUUUUAUUGUCUGAAUCAUGAGGCCGGUGAUCAAAAUCAAAGCUGGCAUUUCACUGUAAGAUAUACUGUAUAUAUAAAUAUAUAUAAAUAUAUAUAAAGAGUUCAACAAAUGUUUGUUUUUUUUUUAAUUGCAAAAAGAAUCAAGUCCCCAGAUUGAAACCUACAUGCAAAAUUUUGGGUUUUCUGCUGUACUGAUCAUGUUACUACAAAGUAUGAAUGUGUCCUAAUGGCUCCAGUUUAAAACGUGUUCUAACUUAUGUAAAUAUAUAAAUAUUGUUUGAAUUGAAAAUGCAUGUCAUUGUUUUUUUAGUUUUUUUUUUACUGUGUUUAAAUAGAAGAAACAAAGUUAAAGUAAAGGGCUAACAUCUGUAUGGUCCCAUAAUCUGAAGCACUACUAUCCCCAGCCAGAGGGGGGCCUCACAUUUAGGUUGGCCAUACUGGAUGACUAAAAGUGUACCGU
ensembl:lncRNA